UUUAAAUGGCAUAUGUCUAUCCUUGCUAUUGCUAACAAUUUUCAGCAGGCUAACGUAAAGAAGAGUUCAGUUGUGCAAGAGAGAUGGAAGAAACCUGACCCCAAAUUUGUAAAGCUGAAUGUAGACGCUGCAUUUUAUGCUACAGAAGGUGCUGGUGCCACAGCAGCGGUGAUUAAAGAUGAUAAAGGGGUCUUUCUAGCAGCACAAUGUAUUUUCAUUCCUUAUGCUUCUAGCGUGGUUACCACUGAAGCCCAAGCAAUGAGGGAUGGACUAAAUUUUGCAAACUCUUUGGGAUUCCUGCGAGUGGAGGCGGAAUCAGAUUCAUUGAUCGUAAUUGAAGCAUGCGAG
rnacentral:rRNA from 1 species